rnacentral:rRNA from 1 species
GUGCGACGCCGCGUGGGGGAAUGAAGGUCUUCGGAUUGUAAACCCCUGUCAUGUGGGAGCAAAUUAAAAAGAUAGUACCACAAGAGGAAGAGACGGCUAACUCUGUGCCAGCAGCCGCGGUAAUACAGAGGUCUCAAGCGUUGUUCGGAAUCACUGGGCGUAAAGCGUGCGUAGGCUGUUUCGUAAGUCGUGUGUGAAAGGCGCGGGCUCAACCCGCGGACGGCACAUGAUACUGCGAGACUAGAGUAAUGGAGGGGGAACCGGAAUUCUCGGUGUAGCAGUGAAAUGCGUAGAUAUCGAGAGGAACACUCGUGGCGAAGGCGGGUUCCUGGACAUUAACUGACGCUGAGGCACGAAGGCCAGGGGAGCGAAAGGGAUUAGAUACCCCUGUAGUCCUGGCAGUAAACGGUGCACGCUUGGUGUGCGGGGAAUCGACCCCCUGCGUGCCGGAGCUAACGCGUUAAGCGUGCCGCCUGGGGAGUACGGUCGCAAGAUUAAAACUCAAAGAAAUUGACGGGGACCCGCACAAGCGGUGGAGUAUGUGGCUUAAUUCGAUGCAACGCGAAGAACCUUACCUGGGCUUGACAUGUAAUGAACAACAUGUGAAAGCAUGCGACUCUUCGGAGGCGUUACACAGGUGCUGCAUGGCCGUCGUCAGCUCGUGUCGUGAGAUGUUUGGUUAAGUCCAGCAACGAGCGCAACCCCUGUUGCCAGUUACCAGCACGUGAAGGUGGGGACUCUGGCGAGACUGCCCAGAUCAACUGGGAGGAAGGUGGGGACGACGUCAGGUCAGUAUGGCCCUUAUGCCCAGGGCUGCACACGUACUACAAUGCCCAGUACAGAGGGGGCCGAAGCCGCGAGGCGGAGGAAAUCCUAAAAACUGGGCCCAGUUCGGACUGUAGGCUGCAACCCGCCUACACGAAGCCGGAAUCGCUAGUAAUGGCGCAUCAGCUACGGCGCCGUGAAUACGUUCCCGGGUCUUGUACACACCGCCCGUCACAUCAUGGAAGCCGGUCGCACCCGAAGUAUCUGAAGCCAACCGCAAGGAGGCAGGGUCCUAAGGUGAGACUGGUAACUGGGAUGAAGUCGUAACAAGGUAGCCGUAGGGGAACCUGCGGCUG